GGGGGGGCGACGCGGGGAACCGAGAGGAGCAGCUGGGACGCCGGAGAUACCGAAACAGGAGAGAGGAAGAGAAAAGAUAGAGACUGAGAAUCGGAGGAGGCAGAGAAACGAACAGAGGAGAGAGAAGGAUAGAAAGAGGAACAGUUGAUUCAAAGGAAACCCCGCCAUGGCAGUGCCUUGGCACCGGCUGCGACCCUCUCCUCUGGUACCCGGAAAGGGUCUUCGGCUCCAAUUCUGCCCCCGGCCGGCCGGGAGCUGCCGGCCGCCCGGGGCGGAACCUGAGAGUGUUGGCCCAGGAGGUCCUCGACAUCGGGGGACCCCUCUCCAUCCCAGUCCCCGUCAGCAGACCAAGUUAGAAUCCAGCCUGCCUGGCUCUUAGCUGUGUCGUGACCUCUGGCAAGUUACCCCAGUCCUGGAGAUCCCACGAACUGUGUGGUAAGGGGCUUUCCCACGGGGCAGCGCUGGGGUGGGGGACAGCAGCCCUUUCACAGAUGGGGAAGCCCCUCCUCAAAGACGGGACGUGGCUUGGCCCAGGUCACGCAGCGGGUAGGCUGCAGAGUUGGCCAAAGCCCUGCUGUGACGCGGUAACCUGCGUCCAUCCCUGUGGGGCUGCCUGUUGGUGUCCCGGGCUCCUUGCAGGAAGACACGGAAACCAUCUUGGAUGGAAGUGUCGUGCUGCUCCCCUCAGGCAAAGACACCCAGGCCAAGACCAUUUCCUGCCCUGAAACUUGGGGCUCUCUGAAGAGAAAGCUUGGUGUACCUCGAGUUGUCCGAGGAUGGGCACCUUGACAAGACUAGGGACGAGUGAUGAAGGUGGAUUUUUGCCAUCCAGAAACUCCCAAGGGUUUCUUCCUUCUCCCAGCUUCCUUCCCAGCACCUAGUUUUCCAUUUUGCCUUCUGAUUUUGUAUAUUUUACUCCCACCCAAAAAAAACAAAAGGAAGGGCCCAAAACACGGUCUAAGAAAAAGUGGCCUGUUCUCCUUCUCAAAGCCUGAAAAAUCACAUUUUUCUGACCAUUUGGAUUCAUUUCCGCAAGGACUUGUUGGGACCAAAUACAACAUUUCCUAUAGAAAAUACCUGCUUCGGGAGGGAUCUGUUAUGCCCGGUGGCCCUUCCAUCUCUGUCUCACCUGGACUGGGAACUCUUCAAGGAAACGUCCAGAUUGGGGGCUUCCUUUCAGCAGGGAUGAUGGGAAGUCUUUUGAUAAACUGCAAUGAUUUCCAGGCUGCCCCCCACCCGCUGAUGUACACACUGUUGGCUGCUCUCCUGGAAAAUGGGGAUUAAGCUACGGACAGAGACACAAUCCCUGUAGUCAGUGAGUUUCCAGCCUUCCUCUGGGAAGUGUGGGAAAUGCUGAUGCCCACCUCAACGGGUUCUGAGAGAUUCUGAUGAGAUAAUACAAGUAAAAUGCUUAGGCUGGGCUCGAGCACACAGCGAAUGCCAGAUCAGUGUUUUAGUUGCUAUUAUAUGUCCGGGGGUGGGGGGCGGUGUUUGAAAGAGCAUCUGUGGCUCAGGAUUUCGACAACCACACUACCAAGAUGCUGGAAAGCAGGUGCUGGGGGGAAAUAGGGCGAGGAGGAAUGCAAGAAUUCUAGAAUGCUGGUCAUGUCCCCAUGUCGGUUUGGUUUAGCUCAGGGUGUUUUUCCACAUCACUUAUUAGGCAAACUUUUAAAACGAGAAACUGACAUUCCCUUGCAGAGGCCGAGGGAGGAACUAGAAAGAUUUCAUUCCGCUCCACAGUCAGGCCUGUGAGGCGGAGAGCCCUCCAAAUAUGGCAGCUUUGAGAAGAACAGGAAAAGGGCGUAGGAUGCAGAGCGUCGGCCAUGAUUGGAGAGGAUGAACCCAGCUCGCUCCCCGCGGUGUCUACACUGCACCAUCCUUCACGGCUCCGGGGUCCGAGGUUGGCCCGCGCACCACAGCACUUGCACGCCCCCGACGGGGUUGGUUUUCUCUAUCGGCUUCCUCUCUCCCUCCCAUUUCACUUGGCAAAUCCCUCCACUUCAUCCGUGAUU